GUGCAUCUUGUCUCUUACAAUUUUGUUCAGAAAAAAAAAAGAAGAGACAGGAUGAGAAAAUAAAGAAAAUAAAAACAGAAAAUAUAGAAAAAUGAAAAAAAAAUUUGAAUAAUGGAGUCAAGAAGAGGAUUGAAUUAGAGGGUUUUGGGUGUGGUUUGAUUGUGUUUCACUUGUUCCCCAUUGCUCCUCUAUUUCCUUUGGUUUGUAACUUCUCAUCCAUAUCAUAUCCUCCCUUGUCCUUGGCCCCGUUGCAUCCAUAAAAGGCCUUUUGAUUUGAACAUGCAUAUAUGUUUGAGUGUUGAUAUUAGAGGCUUGCCAAGUCUGUUUGUGUUUGCUUUCCUGAGUGCAUUGAGUUGACAUUGUUUACCUUAGACACUUGAGA
rnacentral:lncRNA from 1 species